UAACAGUCCUUCAGCAUUUGCCAACUACCACCUUGGCUCUGAUUUCACAUCACUAUGCAGUUUUUCCAUGAACAUUUUCCAGGGGUAAUUGACUAGAAUCACACUAGACUAACUUUGUGAGGUCAAGAACUGUAUCUGUCCUACUUACCUAUCUGUGCUUCUAGCGUAGAGUAUACAAAAUCGAGCUCAAUAUUGGUUUAAUAAAAUGGAUAUAGCUUUGUUUUUACUUUACAGCCCUUCUCUUACAUGUUGGAUUAUCAUUGAUCAGCUUUGAGUAAUUGGAGAUCUUGACUUUGGAGUGUUCUGUCAACCUGAGGACCAGAGUAUUAUGGGCUGCAUUGUGUUCGCCCUCCCACCUCAUCCAUAUAUUGAAGUCCUAACCCCCAGUACCUCAGAAUGUGACUGUAUUUGGAGACAAGAUUCGUAUAGAGAAUUAACAACAACAGAAUGAAGCUCUGGUAGAAUGAAGUGGAAUCCCUGCUGAACCCAGAAGCAAAAGAAGUUAGAGGGAACAGGACUGGAGCCUAUGAAAACAUCUCAGCAAUGAAAGAGGUGCUUACCAAUGGGCAUAAGGGUCACACAGUAUGAUGAUGUGAUGUGGGAAAGGACACUCCAUCUGCCUGUGUGCCUGAGAAGAUGAAGACCUAGGCUGAAAUAUUCUGGCAUUCAAUAAGGAUUAAUUUGUCCAUACUAGCUACUGGGUAUUUGAAUUUUAUAAAAUUAUAUUUUAUAGUUGUAUAAUGUUAUAGUUUUAUAAUUUUAUCACCAAAGUUUUUCAAGAUCUCUUUCACUUUGUAUUUUUGCUGGUUUCUUUCUCAAAACACAUGUCUGGUAAUGCCAUUCUCCACUUCAAAGAAUAGGACACAAUUACACAAAGCAUAGAACAAAGCCUAGGUUUCUUUCAUGGCAUUUAUCGUUCUUUGGAAUCUAUUAUAUCUCUUACUCCCUCCACAAACCCUGAUUUUAGCAAUGCUGAAAACACUCGGUGCAGAGACCAAGGUGGAUUCACUUUAUUUCUCCUGUGCUCAGUACAAGCUGUGGCACAGAGUAGGUGGCCAGCGCAUGCUUCCUGAACGAAUGGAUGGAUGCAACUAUGGGGCAGUCUCUCAAGCGUGCCUUUCCCCGGCUCUCCUUUACGUUGGCUCGUGCUGCACUCUCCAUCUGGAAAGCCUUUUCCUGCCACUUUCUAUUUUAUAUGUAUCUAUUAUUGCCCUGUGUGUUCAUGUCCAGAGCAGAUGACAGCUCCCAGGGCAACUUUCCUAGAUGUUGGACUUCAUCCCUCUGUGUUCUGAAUCCGCCUUAUGAAUAUGGCCUUCAUGGUACUUUUUAUUCUACCCUAGAUGACAGUGUCUGUGGGCAAUUUAUUUCUACCCUGAACAAGAAUAGAACAAGAAUCCUGGGUGACAGAAGCAGUAUUUUACAGAACUUUUCAUCCUCUGUAAUACUUUGAGGAUUCAAGGGUCUAAGUAAAUCUUAAUUAGCUAGAAUCCUCCCUUUCUGCAUUCCCUCCUCUGUAUCCCCUAAACUUCUCCCUUCAGUUCAUCAUUUUCCUCAGUUUGUACCUUCCUACCCUGUUUUAAAUGGUAUCCUCUUAAGUCCCACGUUUCUCUCCUGACUCCUCCUCAUAUCUUUCACCCCACUCAUGGAAGCCUGGGCUCAGGUCCUCCUUUUUCUUAUAGGGCCAGCUCCUGCCCCUGCACUUUUUUCUUCUUAUGAGUACUAUAAAGGCAGUAACAGUGACCGUUUUGAAGACACAAAGAGGAGUGUGAGAUAGUUACAAAGAUGGUGGCCCCUUGGCCUGGGGAAUUAGAAUAAAUGAAAAAUUAAAAUAUGGAGGUAGAGCAUAUCUCUCUAAGGAAGACUGCUCUCUAUUUGGCUUUAGCCCACAUUGUUGAGGGGGACAUUAUCUUUGAGGAGGUCCUCACUUGCCUUCUCUCUUGCCAGCUCUGCCCCAGAACUCUCCAAGCAACUCCAGGUCACAAAAUAUGAAACAGUAGUAGAUGAGUCAGUCCAUGCCCAAGAAGAGGCUCUAGUGGGGAUUGAGGUGAGGAAAGGUUAUGGAGGCUGGAUCAGGGCCAAGGCAUAGUCCAGGUAGCAAGGGGAUGGUGAGUUAGGCAGGACACCAGGGAAAGGGUGGGAGGUCUAAGAUGCUUUCUUCUCAUCUAUGGUGAGGGCUGGGGAGAAGAAAUGUUAAAGAUGGUCCAAGUUCAUUUAUACUCACAUCUUCCCAUUUGUCCAGCUCAAUUUCCCUUUCUCCACAUCAUACCAAUACUUCCAUUUUUUUCUUAAAUUCUUUUAUGCAUGCUCUUAUUCUUUUCUAUCCCUAAUAGUACAGUUCUCUUUGUCAUCAUUGUUUGGUAAUCCUGUAUGUUUUUUAAUAACCUGGAUUUCUCAAUUUGUUUGCUUUUUUGUCCAAGUCCAUCUGAGUCAUGUCUUCAUCUGAGGUGGAUUUAUAUCCUCAUCCUCCACUGAUUCUGUUAUCAUUUUGAGGUGGGGGAGGCCUGUGGCUAGAGGGGAACCUGGGGACUUAUUCUACUUUCUAGCACUAUCUUAAGGAAGACUGCCACCAGGAGUGGGACUUCUCAGUGUUUGGUUCCCACACCCGGACAAAGCAGGUCACAAAGCAGGUCGGGGAUCUGAAGCUGUUUGUCAGAAACUAGCUACAGGUGUGAGGAGGCAGCCAUGGAGAUAGGAAAAGAGAAAUAAGCCUCAGGGAAGUUUUGAGAGAAAUGACACGCCUAUGGCCUUAAAGCUGAGCCACAAGGUGGAGAGAAAGCCUUCUUAUGAGCUUAAAACAUAACCAGGAGCCAAAAAUGUUUAAUCCUUUUUGAUGCCACGUGGAAGGACCAUGAUAUUGGGGUCUUAUACCUUCCUUUCAAUAACCUCCCACAAGCUGAGCUAACAAAAGAAUAUUUCUUCAGCAGGCAGGUAUAUGGUAAGUCCAGCUAACUAUUUAAAAAAUCUAAAUAUCUAAGACAAUCCCUUAACUUUUCAUUCUUUUCACUCAUUAAUAAGCUGUUUGGUUCCUUUUUCUUUUUAAUUUGUGCAAAUGUACAUAGCACAUGAGAAAUUUUGUUAUGUGUAUAUAAUACAUAGUGAUCAAGUCAGGGUAAUCAGGGUGUCCGUAACCUAAGUACAAUACAUUUUGUUAAGUAUAGUCAUCCUACUUUGCUAUCAAACACUGAAUUUAUGCAUUCUAUCUUACUGUAUGUCUGCAUCUUUUAACACACUUCUCUCAUCUUUCCCAGUCUUUGUUAUCUAUUUUUCUACUCUGUCUCCAUGUGUGCAAAUUUUUUAUCAGCUAGUCAAUUUCUGUGUCUUCAUGUAACUAGUGUGUGCAUGGCAAACCACACUGUACUAAGGACUGAAAUGGGGCUGUAUGGAAUGAGUCAAUUUAUACAAAUAUGUUUGCAGAUAUCAAAAGUGUAUGACAGCCUCAACCCUAAAUUAUUCUGUACCUCCAAAUAAAAGUUUAUUU